AGAAUCAACGCUGGCGGCGUGCCUAACACAUGCAAGUCGAACGAGAAAGGGGAGCAAUCCCUGAGUAAAGUGGCGCACGGGUGAGUAACACGUGACUAACCUACCCUGGAGUGGGGGAUAACUGAGGGAAACCUUAGCUAAUACCGCAUAACACCUACGGGUCAAAGGAGCAAUUCGCUUUGGGAGGGGUCGCGGCCGAUUAGUUAGUUGGCGGGGUAAUGGCCCACCAAGACAGUGAUCGGUAUCC
rnacentral:rRNA from 1 species